AGGAUUCCCCUAGUAACUGCGAGUGAAGCGGGAAGAGCUCAAAUUUAAAAUCUGGCUAGCUUCGCUGCCCGAGUUGUAAUCUAGAGAAGCAUUAUCAGCGCUCGCGGCGUGUAUAAGUGUCCUGGAAUGGACCAUCAUAGAGGGUGACAAUCCCGUCUUUGACACGGCUGCCUUUAGUGCUAUUGAUGUGCUCUCAACGAGUCGAGUUGUUUGGGAAUGCAGCUCUAAAUGGGUGGUAAGUUCCAUCUAAAGCUAAAUAUUGGCGAGAGACCGAUAGCGAACAAGUACCGUGAGGGAAAGAUGAAAAGAACUUUGGAAAGAGAGUUAAACAGUACGUGAAAUUGCUGAAAGGGAAACGCUUGAAGUCGGUCGCGUUGGCUGGGUAAUCGAGAAAUCAACCUUGCUUUCUAAAAGCUCGGCUUAUUUCCCAGCUGACGGGCCAGCAUCAGUUUUGACCGGUGGAUAAAGGCCRAGGGAAUGUGGCACCUCUGGGUGUGUUAUAGCCCUCGGUCAUAUACAUCGGUUGG
rnacentral:rRNA from 1 species